UUACAAGCUAUGAGCAGAAGUAGUAAGUAUGAUAAAAAUUCUCAGAGAGCUGGGGUAGCUGUGAACCGGUAAUUUUUUAGUUCUGAACUUGUCUGUGAGCUUUCACCUGAGACUAGUUUUUGUUUAGGGUAGAACGCGAUUCUCACGUUAUAGGGAUAGGUGGUAUGUUUUUUAUAAUGCCACUGAUAGAGUGAGCUUUUUGUAAAAUAAGCUAAAUAGAGUGGUACCGCGAGUUAACCUCGUCUCUUUU
rnacentral:ncRNA from 1 species